GUGCUGCUUCAGCAGCUCAUAAACUGAAACUGGGACAAUACAGAGAUCAGCGUGGCCUUGCACAAGGAUGACACGCAAACUCAUGAAGUGCUUCGUAUUUUU
ensembl:snRNA U6 U6 spliceosomal RNA